rnacentral:rRNA from 1 species
AGACCCGAAACCCGGUGAUCUAGCCAUGGGCAGGUUGAAGGUUGGGUAACACUAACUGGAGGACCGAACCGACUAAUGUUGAAAAAUUAGCGGAUGACCUGUGGCUGGGGGUGAAAGGCCAAUCAAACCGGGAGAUAGCUGGUUCUCCCCGAAAGCUAUUUAGGUAGCGCCUCGUGAAUUCAUCUCCGGGGGUAGAGCACUGUUUCGGCUAGGGGGCCAUCCCGGCUUACCAACCCGAUGCAAACUGCGAAUACCGGAGAAUGUUAUCACGGGAGACACACGGCGGGUGCUAACGUCCGUCGUGAAGAGGGAAACAACCCAGACCGCCAGCUAAGGUCCCAAAGUCAUGGUUAAGUGGGAAACGAUGUGGGAAGGCCCAGACAGCCAGGAUGUUGGCUUAGAAGCAGCCAUCAUUUAAAGAAAGCGUAAUAGCUCACUGGUCGAGUCGGCCUGCGCGGAAGAUGUAACGGGGCUAAACCAUGCACCGAAGCUGCGGCAGCGACACUGUGUGUUGUUGGGUAGGGGAGCGUUCUGUAAGCCUGUGAAGGUGUGUUGUGAGGCAUGCUGGAGGUAUCAGAAGUGCGAAUGCUGACAUAAGUAACGAUAAAGCGGGUGAAAAGCCCGCUCGCCGGAAGACCAAGGGUUCCUGUCCAACGUUAAUCGGGGCAGGGUGAGUCGACCCCUAAGGCGAGGCCGAAAGGCGUAGUCGAUGGGAAACGGGUUAAUAUUCCCGUACUUGGUGUUACUGCGAAGGGGGGACGGAGAAGGCUAUGUUGGCCGGGCGACGGUUGUCCCGGUUUAAGCGUGUAGGUGUGUGUUCCAGGUAAAUCCGGUUCACUUUAACACUGAGGCGUGACGACGAGGCACUACGGUGCUGAAGCAACAAAUGCCCUGCUUCCAGGAAAAGCCUCUAAGCAUCAGGUAACAUCAAAUCGUACCCCAAACCGACACAGGUGGUCAGGUAGAGAAUACCAAGGCGCUUGAGAGAACUCGGGUGAAGGAACUAGGCAAAAUGGUGCCGUAACUUCGGGAGAAGGCACGCUGACACGUAGGUGAAGUGAUUUACUCAUGGAGCUGAAGUCAGUCGAAGAUACCAGCUGGCUGCAACUGUUUAUUAAAAACACAGCACUGUGCAAACACGAAAGUGGACGUAUACGGUGUGACGCCUGCCCGGUGCCGGAAGGUUAAUUGAUGGGGUCAGCGCAAGCGAAGCUCCUGAUCGAAGCCCCGGUAAACGGCGGCCGUAACUAUAACGGUCCUAAGGUAGCGAAAUUCCUUGUCGGGUAAGUUCCGACCUGCACGAAUGGCGUAAUGAUGGCCAGGCUGUCUCCACCCGAGACUCAGUGAAAUUGAACUCGCUGUGAAGAUGCAGUGUACCCGCGGCAAGACGGAAAGACCCCGUGAACCUUUACUAUAGCUUGACACUGAACAUUGAGCCUUGAUGUGUAG